GCGGGUUUAGCUCAGUUGGGAGAGCGUCAGACUGAAGUAAAAACUUCGGUAACUCAAUCUGAAGGUCGUGUGUUCGAUCCACACAAACCGCA